rnacentral:rRNA from 1 species
UACGUAGGUGGCAAGCGUUGUCCGGAAUUAUUGGGCGUAAAGCGCACGUAGGCGGCUUUGUAAGUUAGAGGUGAAAGCCCGGAGCUCAACUCCGGAAUUGCCUUUAAGACUGCAUCGCUUGAAUCCAGGAGAGGUGAGUGGAAUUCCGAGUGUAGAGGUGAGAUUCGUAGAUAUUCGGAAGAACACCAGUGGCGAAGGCGGCUCACUGGACUGGUAUUGACGCUGAGGUGCGAAAGCGUGGGGAGCAAACAGG